UGUUGAAAAAAUAUCUUUGGAACUAAAAAUUUAAUGAAAUUGGUUCGAAAAUAUCGAAAUUUGGGAAUUUUUUGACGAAAUUGGUGUGGGAAUUUGGGGAAUUGGAGUUUUGAGCUGUUUCUGUUGAAAUGUUGAAAAUUGGAGGUGAAAUUUAGUGAAAAGAUUCAAACUUUUGGAAGAUAUAAAGUGAAUUUUUGAUAAGUUUUGGUGUAUUUUUUUUUAUUGAAUUGGCAUUAUGAGACUCGUGUUGUGAGGAGAAGUUUUUGACAAUUUUGAGCUUAUUUUGUUGAAAUGUUUCAAGAUUUGGAGGUGAAUUUGAUGCCUUUUUUGUUAGAUUGGUAUUACCAGAUUCGUGUAGUUAGGCGUUUCCGAUGUUUUGAGCUGAUUUAGUUGAGGUUUAGGAGAACUUGGUGCAUUUUUGUUAUAUUGGCAUUACCAGAUUAGUGUGGGGAAGAGAGAGUGGAGGGGGGGUUUGAAGAAGACGACGACUAGGGGGC
rnacentral:lncRNA from 1 species